rnacentral:rRNA from 1 species
CAGUAGCCGCGGGAAUACGUAGGUGGCAAGCGUUGUCCGGAAUUAUUGGGCGUAAAGGGCUCGCAGGCGGUUUCUUAAGUCUGAUGUGAAAGCCCCCGGCUCAACCGGGGAGGGUCAUUGGAAACUGGGAGACUUGAGUGCAGAAGAGGAGAGUGGAAUUCCACGUGUAGCGGUGAAAUGCGUAGAGAUGUGGAGGAACACCAGUGGCGAAGGCGACUCUCUGGUCUGUAACUGACGCUGAGGAGCGAAAGCGUGGGGAGCGAACAGGAUUAGAUACCCGGGUAGUCCCUGUCUCUUAUAC